UACGGAGGGGGCAAGCGUUGUUCGGAUUUACUGGGCGUAAAGGGCGCGUAGGCGGCUUUGUAAGUUACUUGUGAAAUCUCCGGGCUUAACUCGGAACUGCCAAGUAAUACUGCAGAGCUUGAGUGCAGAAGAGGCGACUGGAAUUCUUGGUGUAGCGGUGAAAUGCGUAGAUAUCAAGAGGAACACCUGAGGCGAAGGCGGGUUGCUGGGCUGGCACUGACGCUGAGGCGCGAAAGCUAGGGGAGCAAACAGG
rnacentral:rRNA from 1 species